AGAGUUUGAUCCUGGCUCAGGACGAACGCUGGCGGCGUGCCUAAUGCAUGCAAGUCGCACGCAGAGUGCUUGCACUCUGAGUGGCGCACGGCUGAGGAACACGUGGGCAUCUGCCCGACCGUGGGGGAUAACUCGGCGAAAGCCGCGCUAAUCCCGCAUACGCUCGCAAGCGGAAAGCAGCAAUGCGCGGUCGGAGGAGCCUGCGGCCCAUCAGGUAGUUGGCGGGGUAACGGCCCACCAAGCCGGUGACGGGUAGCUGGUCUGUGAGGACAACCAGCCAGACUGGGACUGAGACACGGCCCAGACUCCUACGGGAGGCAGCAGCAAGGAAUUUUCGGCAAUGGGGGCAACCCUGACCGAGCAACGCCGCGUGGAGGAUGACGGCCUUCGGGUUGUAAACUCCUUUUGCGGGGGACGACAUCGACUGUACCCCGCGAAUAAGGCUCGGCUAACUCUGUGCCAGCAGCCGCGGUAAUAC
rnacentral:rRNA from 1 species